GUUACUUUUUGUUAACACAUAUACUAAAAUUGGAGUAAUACAGAGAAGAUUAGCAUGGCCCCUUCACAAGGAUGACAUGCAAAUUUGUGAAGUAUUCCAUAUUUUU